rnacentral:rRNA from 1 species
GGCUCACCAAGGCUUCGACGGGUAGCCGGCCUGAGAGGGUGACCGGCCACACUGGGACUGAGACACGGCCCAAACUCCUACGGGAGGCAGCAGUGGGGAAUAUUGGACAAUGGGCGAAAGCCUGAUCCAGCAACGCCGCGUGAGGGAUGACGGCCUUCGGGUUGUAAACCUCUUUCAGCAGGGACGAAGCGCAAGUGACGGUACCUGCAGAAGAAGCACCGGCCAACUACGUGCCAGCAGCCGCGGUAAUACGUAGGGUGCGAGCGUUGUCCGGAAUUAUUGGGCGUAAAGGGCUCGUAGGCGGUCUGUCACGUCGGGAGUGAAAACUCGGGGCUCAACCCCGAGCCUGCUUCCGAUACGGGCAGACUAGAGGUAUGCAGGGGAGAACGGAAUUCCUGGUGUAGCGGUGAAAUGCGCAGAUAUCAGGAGGAACACCGGUGGCGAAGGCGGUUCUCUGGGCAUUACCUGACGCUGAGGAGCGAAAGUGUGGGGAGCGUACAGGAUUAGAUACCCUGGUAGUCCACACCGUAAACGUUGGGCGCUAGGUGUGGGACUCAUUCCACGAGUUCCGUGCCGCAGCUAACGCAUUAAGCGCCCCGCCUGGGGAGUACGGCCGCAAGGCUAAAACACAAAGGAAUUGACGGGGGCCCGCACAAGCGGCGGAGCAUGCGGAUUAAUUCGAUGCAACGCGAAGAACCUUACCUGGGUUUGACAUAUGGAGAAAUCUCCCAGAGAUGGGAGGUCCGAAAGGGCUCCAUACAGGUGGUGCAUGGCUGUCGUCAGCUCGUGUCGUGAGAUGUUGGGUUAAGUC